rnacentral:rRNA from 1 species
GACGAACCGAGCGAACGUUGUUCGGAAUCACUGGGCUUAAAGGGCGCGUAGGCGGGCCGUCGCGUCCGGGGUGAAAUCCCACGGCUCAACCGUGGAACGGCCUCGGAUACGGGCGGCCUCGAGGGGGGUAGGGGCAUCUGGAACUGUGAGUGGAGCGGUGAAAUGCGUUGAUAUUCACAGGAACUCCGGUGGCGAAGGCGAGGUGCUGGACCCCAUCUGACGCUGAGGCGCGAAAGCCAGGGGAGCAAACGGG